UUUGGGACACCUAUGUUGUGCUCUAUCGAAGUUACUAUUUUCUAUAGAUAAAAAUCAUAUACAGAAUGGAUAAGAUAUUUG
rnacentral:tRNA from 1 species